rnacentral:lncRNA from 1 species
AAGAUAUUCAUAUAUUGCUUGCAGAAUGUUUUUAAACAUGAAAAAUAAAAUAAUUUUAAGAAAAGAAACAUCCUUCCCUAUAUAUUGGAAACAUAAGUAUUUUCUAGUAAAGGUCAUGUAAAAUAAUUGAAGGAGAAAUGAUCUAGAAAUCAGGUAGCACAAGUUCCACUUUUACUUCUGAGUCAUUGUUUGUAAUUGCUUAUAAGGACAAGCAUAUCAUUCACUCAUUUCUAUAAUAACUUUGACCACAUACUAUAUGUCUGCCAUCAUACUCUUUGCUGGAGAUUCAGCUGGGCCUCAUUUCCAUAUUAGUCAGGACUCUUGCUGGGAAGCAAAGAUAAUGCCAGCUCAAACUAGCUAAAUCAAACAAACAAACAAAAAAAUGUAAUGACAUACACAACCAGGGAAUGUAGGGAUGGACUUGCAUUCAGUUGCAUCCAGAUUCAAGUGGAAAUAGUCUCAUUAGCACUCAGCCCUCCUGUCUCUUCACCCAUCCUCAGCUCUGCGGCUCUUCUUUCCUCUCUGUGAACUUCCCUUUGCUGCAGGUUCUCUCAAAAUGGAGACUCAUUGCCUCUCCAUGGAUUAUAUUCUCAUUGUGUCUGAGUAAUGUCUUUACUCUUCUAGGUCCGUUCCAAUCCCAAAUCCAUAUUCUUUUGCUUAACACCCAAUUAGUGUGCAUGAAGCAGCAAACACAAAAGCUGGCUACACAUUAACUACAUAGCAAGUGUUCUUUCCAGUCACCAUCUAUCUAUAAGUAUGCAUUUCUUUUAUUUAACAACCAUGUUAUUCUUUUGCUUUAUUUCAUAAUUUUUUAAAACUUAUUUUUCUAUUUUGAUUUUAAUCUAUCUUCUGC